rnacentral:rRNA from 1 species
GAUGAACGCUGGCGGCGUGCCUAAUACAUGCAAGUCGAGCGAACAGACGAGGAGCUUGCUCCUCUGACGUUAGCGGCGGACGGGUGAGUAACACGUGGAUAACCUACCUAUAAGACUGGGAUAACUUCGGGAAACCGGGGCUAAUACCGGAUAACAUGUUGAACCGCAUGGUUCAACAGCGAAAGACGGUCUUGCUGUCACUUAUAGAUGGAUCCGCGCCGCAUUAGCUAGUUGGUAAGGUAACGGCUUACCAAGGCAACGAUGCGUAGCCGACCUGAGAGGGUGAUCGGCCACACUGGAACUGAGACACGGUCCAGACUCCUACGGGAGGCAGCAGUAGGGAAUCUUCCGCAAUGGGCGAAAGCCUGACGGAGCAACGCCGCGUGAGUGAAGAAGGUCUUCGGAUCGUAAAACUCUGUUAUUAGGGAAGAACAAAUGUGUAAGUAACUAUGCACGUCUUGACGGUACCUAAUCAGAAAGCCACGGCUAACUACGUG